AAUGUCGUAUCAGGUUGCGUCAGGUAGGACCGCUGCGGAAGGAUCAUUACAAAUAAAGCCGGUGGAGGUGGGGUCUUGAUCUGUAAGUGGUAGAGCGAACAGUCCGGCUGCCUCCCGAAAUGUCUUACAUGCCCCCCCACAGCCUGAAGGCCGAAUUACGACCCUUGAUUAUCUACACUUGUUGCUUGGGGUGCUCAAGUGCCCCAGAGGACCCAAAUCUCUUGCAUUUAGUGACGUCUGAGUACUAUAUAAUAUUUAAAA
rnacentral:misc_RNA from 1 species